GCCUCGUUAUAUCAGUCGGUAGAUAGUGUGACUCUUACGCAAUACAAGCCGAUUGAUCACACAGUCAUGGGUUCGAGCCCCAUACGAGGCU
rnacentral:tRNA from 2 species